rnacentral:misc_RNA from 1 species
UCGUAUCAAACCGGGUGCGUCCGAGGCGCCCUGCACCGGCGGAGACGCCGUGCUGCGGGCCCCCGGCGCGCCUUCCACGCCAAACCCCUGUGCACCUUUGGGAAGGCGGAGCGGCAACGCGACGUCGGCCCCUCAAUCUCACAAGCUCUUUUGAUACUUGUAGAAUGCGUGCGGACGUCGUCCGUCUAAAACAAAUAA